rnacentral:lncRNA from 1 species
GGGGUGGGGGGGGUCUGUACUUGAGAUCUGAGCCUUUAGUACCUAGGAGGAGGGUGCCUUAAGGAGCUGUAGCUACAGGCUCACUGGAACCUCGAGGAAGUGAGGCGACUCGGCCAAACCCCGCCUGAUGGUGUCUUCCCUCUUGGCUGGACCCGAUGCCCCGAGCAGCCGAUGGGAGACCCCCGCCCGGCUCUCAGGCAAUGAAAUUUUGUUCUUCUGUGCUGAUCUUUCUGCUGAUGUAUUAUGACAUAGUCUGUCAACAUGAACAGAUAUGUGAAAGGAGAUUGGGUGACUGAGACAUACAACCUGAAUCUGGCUCUUCUUGAAUUUUAAGCAUGUUAUCAUGUUUGGCUACAGCAAAGGUGAAGAAAUAAAACUAAGAAGGUUACAUCUACACAGAUCAGCUUCUAUUUGUAAAACUCGAAGGUCUACUCCAUUUCUUUUUAUAACUGGAUUGACUCACUAUGGGCUUCAUCUGAAGAAUAUGGCUGAUUCACCCCAAACUUAUCAGGUUGGUGAAAGGUCCUAUAUGGUUUGAUUGAGGAACAAAGAAGAGUCAUUAUUCCUAUAAACAUUUCCUAAGACCAAGCAUGGACCACAUAUUAUCAGCAAUCAUUUAGAAUUCAGUCCAAGGCUGUUUCACUUGUGGAGUGAUUCCCAACCCUGUUUUUGUGAGACCUGAGGGUUUCCUUUUCCAUUAAAAGCUUUUAAAACAUCUUCACUAGAAAUUAAAGGUUAUAUAAGUCUUCU